CGGACAACCCUGAGCGGGUGAGACGUGUCCCAAAGUGUCCCCAAAAUGUCCCCAAAGUGUCCCCAAUGUGUCCCCAAUGUGUCCCCAGUGUGUCUUCAGUGUGUCCCCAAUGUGUCCCCAAAAUGUCCCCAACGUGUCCCCGGAGUGUCUUCAAUGUGUCCCCAAUGUGUCCCCAAAGUGUCCCCACUGUGUCCCCAACAGGUCCCCGAUGUGUCCCCAGUGUGUCUUCAGUGUGUCCCCAAUGUGUCCCCAAAAUGUCCCCAAAGUGUCCCCAAAAUGUCCCCAACAUGUCCCCAGAGUGUCUUCAAUGUGUCCCCAAUGUGUCCCCAAAAUGUCCCCAAAGUGUCCCCAACACGUCCCCAACUUGUCUUCAGUGUGUCCCCAGUGUGUCCCCACUGUGUCCCCAAUGUGUCUCCAAUGUGUCCCCAAUGUGUCCCUAAAAUGUCCCCAAGGAGUCUCCAAUGUGUCCCCCAUGUGUCCCCAGUGUGUCCCCAAACUGUCCCCAAUGUGUUCCCAACAGGUCCCCCAUGUGUCCCCAAAAUGUCCCCAAAGUGUCCCCAAAGUGUCCCCAAGGUGUCUCCAAUGUGUCCCCAAAAUGUCCCCACCGUGUCCCCAAAAUGUCCCCAAUGUGUCCCCAAAGUGUCCCCAAGGUGUCUCCAAUGUGUCCCCAAAAUGUCCCCAAUAUGUCCCCACUGUGUCCCCAACGUGUCCCCAAUGUGUCCCCAAAAUGUCCCCAAAGUGUCCCCAAAAUGUCCCCAAUGUGUUCCUAGUGUGUCUCCAAUGUGUCCCCAAAGUGUCCCCAGUGUGUCCCCACUGUGUCCCCAUGUCCCCAUCCGUGUCCCCACGUCCCCACGUCUGUCGCUUUGUCCCGACGUCUGUCCCUUUGUCCCCAUGUCCCCAUCCCUGUCCCAAUGUCCCCAUCCCUGUCCCCACGUCUGUCCCUUUGUCCCCACGUCCCCAGCGCCGGGAGGUGGCAGCACUGAAGCA
rnacentral:lncRNA from 1 species